UGGGGAAUUUUAAAUGGGACGAAAGUCUUGAUGGAGCAACGCCGCGUGAGCGAUGAAGGCUUUCGGGUCGUAAAGUUCUGUUGUAAGGGAAGAACAAGUGCCGCAGGAAAUGGCGGCACCUUGACGGUACCUUGCCAGAAAGCCACGGCUAACUACGUGCCAGCAGCCGCGGUAAUACGUAGGUGGCAAGCGUUGUCCGGAAUUAUUGGGCGUAAAGCGCGCGCAGGCGGCCUCUUAAGUCUGAUGUGAAAGCCCCCGGCUCAACCGGGGAGGGCCCUUGGAAACUGGGGGGCUUGAGUACAGGAGAAGAAAGUGGAAUUCCACGUGUAGCGGUGAAAUGCGUAGAGAUGUGGAGGAACACCAGUGGCGAAGGCGACUUUUUGGGCUAUAACUGACGCUGAGGCGCGAAAGCGUGGGGAGCAAACAGGAUUAGAUACCCUGGUAAUCCACGCCGUAAACGAUGAGUGCUAAGUGUUGGAGGGUUUCCGCCCUUCAGUGCUGAAACUAACGCAUUAAUCACUCCGCCUGGGGAGGACGGCCGCAAGGCUGAAACUCAAAAGAAUUGGAGGGGGCCCGCCAUAACGGUGGAACAUGCUGUUU
rnacentral:rRNA from 1 species